rnacentral:tRNA from 1 species
GGAGUUGUAGCUCAGUGGUAGAGCGCUUGCCUAGCAUGCAUGAGACACUGGGUUCAACCCUCAGCACCA